CCUAUAUAGCCAAGUAGAAGCAAUUAAUAAAAGAAGAAAGAAAACUUGGGGACCAAAGGUACCAAAAAAGCCCUAAGUGGCUAGCGAGAAUCGAACCAAAUCAUAAAAAAUAGAAAAUAAAAACAACGCAUGAAUCAAAAUCAAAAUUUGGAAGAAAACCAUGUGAAAUCAAAAUUUAAAGAAAGAAAAGUGCAGAUAAUUGAGGGUGGUGGAUUGGCGGCUUCCGUACCUUUCUUUAUGGGGACCUAAAAUUGAAGCAAAGCAAUUAGUAAAAUGUGCAAUGCAACUGUUAAAGAGAGAAGAGUAAGAUAAAUUUUCUUGCUACAAAAGAUGGUGGACAGAUACAAAGUGUUAGAGAACAACGCAAAAUAAAUGAAGGUUAUUACUGAAGUGAUAGAGUGGGUUUUGUAGAAAUGGAGCCCUAUAAUAACUUCAAGUUCAAGAAAUCUUUGAAUUCUUUUUAUGUCGCUUGGAU